AGUAUAGAAAGUGUCGUUGAAAACAUCGGGGAACUGAGCGAUUAUAAAUACUUGUAGCCAUAGGUGUUUGUUACUUGCUAUAGCUCACAUCUGAUCGGUGGUCGCGUCAUAUCAGAAUUGCCUUGAGCGGGACGUAAGAAAGCAGGACCAGUCUGCAAAAUGCCCGUAAAGGUACACGUGGAGUAUUGCGGCUCCUGAGGGCACUCCUCCCGGUACCGGGAGCUCCGCAGGGUCAUCCUGCGUGAGGUGCCCGAUGCUGAGAUCGACGGAGGUACCGGCCGCUCAACAUCGUUUGAGAUCACGGUCAAUGGCCAGCUGAUUUUCUCGAAACUGAAGAACAAGGGAUUUCCCGACUUUGAUGAGAUUGCGGAUACCGUCAAACGGGCCAGUCGUGGAGAAAAAGUGGAGGAAACUGACAAGACUGUCAGUUGCUCAUGCACUAUUCUGUAGCGGAAGUCUCAGGAAGUUAUGGGAGAUGUAUUAGCGCUAUCUGGUGACGGAU